rnacentral:snRNA from 1 species
GGAUGUGAGAGUGAUCUGUCCGUGACAUCUGCCACUCCGUUGAUCUCCAGGGCUGAUUCAGCCGAUCUGGCUGGCUAGGUGGGUGUUCCCUUCCUCCCUCGUGGUCCUGUGUGGAUCCCUCCCAGAGCUGCAGGCUCACUGGAAGAGCACGACCUUCCCCAACAGAGGAGGAGCGUCUUGGGUCAAGGGUGUGUGCGUUACUGAGCUCCGCUGCUGGAAUCUGCAAACAAGCUCUCAAACCUUUUAGCUAAUUACUUUCAUAUUUGUAUCUAUGUCUCUAAAUAACUUACACAUACUGCUGCUUCUGAAUGUUUCCA